rnacentral:rRNA from 1 species
UACGUAGGUGGCGAGCGUUGUCCGGAUUUAUUGGGUUUAAAGGGUGCGUAGGCGGCUUGAUAAGUCAGUGGUGAAAUACUCCAGCUUAACUGGAGGGGUGCCAUUGAUACUGUUGAGCUUGAGUACAGAUGAGGUAGGCGGAAUUGACGGUGUAGCGGUGAAAUGCAUAGAUAUCGUCAAGAACACCGAUAGCGAAGGCAGCUUACUGGGCUGUAACUGACGCUGAGGCACGAAAGUGUGGGGAUCAAACAGG